rnacentral:rRNA from 1 species
AUGAACGCUGGCGGCGUGCCUAAUACCUGCCAGUCGAGCGAACAGAUGAGGAGCUUGCUCUUCUGACGUUAGCGGCGGACGGGUGAGUAACACGUGGAUAACCUACCUAUAAGACUGGGAUAACUUCGGGAAACCGGAGCUAAUACCGGAUAAUAUAUUGAACCGCCUGGUUCAAUAGUGAAAGACGGUUUUGCUGUCACUUAUAGAUGGAUCCGCGCCGCAUUAGCUAGUUGGUAAGGUAACGGCUUACCAAGGCAACGAUGCGUAGCCGACCUGAGAGGGUGAUCGGCCACACUGGAACUGAGACACGGUCCAGACUCCUACGGGAGGCAGCAGUAGGGAAUCUUCCGCAAUGGGCGAAAGCCUGACGGAGCAACGCCGCGUGAGUGAUGAAGGUCUUCGGAUCGUAAAACUCUGUUAUUAGGGAAGAACAAAUGUGUAAGUAACUAUGCACGUCUUGACGGUACCUAAUCAGAAAGCCACGGCUAACUACGUG